AUCCGGAGGGUGCAAGCGUUAUUCGGAAUCACUGGGCGUAAAGGACGCGUAGGCGGGUUGGCAAGUCAGAUGUGAAAUCCUACAGCUUAACUGUAGAACUGCAUUUGAAACUGCUAACCUAGAGUAUGGGAGGGGGAGAUGGAAUUAGUGGUGUAGGGGUAAAAUCCGUAGAUAUCACUAGGAAUACCGAAAGCGAAGGCGAUCUCCUGGAACAUAACUGACGCUAAGGCGUGAAAGCGUGGGGAGCAAACAGGAUUAGAAACCCUAGUAGUCC
rnacentral:rRNA from 1 species